rnacentral:rRNA from 1 species
UACGGAGGGUGCGAGCGUUAUCCGGAUUCACUGGGUUUAAAGGGUGCGUAGGUGGGUCUGUAAGUCAGUGGUGAAAUCUCCGGGCUUAACCUGGAAACUGCCAUUGAUACUAUAGGUCUUGAAUUUUCUGGAGGUAAGCGGAAUAUGUCAUGUAGCGGUGAAAUGCUUAGAUAUGACAUAGAACACCAAUUGCGAAAGGCAGCUUGCUACAGGAAUAUUGACACUGAGGCACGAAAAGCGUGGGGGAUCAAACAGG